rnacentral:rRNA from 1 species
CCUGAGAAACCCAAAAGAUCGAAUGGGGAGAUUCAUCGUUCAGCUGCGCUGGCUUCCGUGCGGAAAGCGAUGACGGGGACCUCGGUCUCGCGUCACGCUGCCGCUGCGGCAUGUCCGCGCGCAGUCGGCGUGCACUUCUCCCCUAGUAGGACGUCGCGACCCGUUGGGUGUCGGACCAAUGGCCGGUCGGUCGUCUGUCGCGCUUGCUCCGCAAUGCGCGGCAGACCGUCCGGUCGAACGUCCGACUGCCCGGCGGUAUCGAACGUUGAAAACUGGUACUGGGCCGCAUUCAGUGCGUUCCUGGCUCGUCGGCAGGCUCGUCUCGCUCGGAUUUACGGACCUAGCGCCGUUGCCGGGUGCUUGACGCGGCCGUUAGUCGGCGAUGUCCUCGGACUGGCUCUUACCGGUCGGCGACGCUACUGCUUUGGGUACUUUC